rnacentral:rRNA from 1 species
UGGCUCAGGAUGAACGCUGGCGGCGUGCCUAAUACAUGCAAGUCGAACGCACAGCGAAAGGUGCUUGCACCUUUCAAGUGAGUGGCGAACGGGUGAGUAACACGUGGACAACCUGCCUCAAGGCUGGGGAUAACAUUUGGAAACAGAUGCUAAUACCGAAUAAAACUUAGUGUCGCAUGACAAAAAGUUAAAAGGCGCUUCGGCGUCACCUAGAGAUGGAUCCGCGGUGCAUUAGUUAGUUGGUGGGGUAAAGGCCUACCAAGACAAUGAUGCAUAGCCGAGUUGAGAGACUGAUCGGCCACAUUGGGACUGAGACACGGCCCAAACUCCUACGGGAGGCUGCAGUAGGGAAUCUUCCACAAUGGGCGAAAGCCUGAUGGAGCAACGCCGCGUGUGUGAUGAAGGCUUUCGGGUCGUAAAGCACUGUUGUAUGGGAAGAACAGCUAGAAUAGGAAAUGAUUUUAGUUUGACGGUACCAUACCAGAAAGGGACGGCUAAAUACGUGCCAGCAGCCGCGGUAAUACGUAUGUCCCGAGCGUUAUCCGGAUUUAUUGGGCGUAAAGCGAGCGCAGACGGUUUAUUAAGUCUGAUGUGAAAGCCCGGAGCUCAACUCCGGAAUGGCAUUGGAAACUGGUUAACUUGAGUGCAGUAGAGGUAAGUGGAACUCCAUGUGUAGCGGUGGAAUGCGUAGAUAUAUGGAAGAACACCAGUGGCGAAGGCGGCUUACUGGACUGCAACUGACGUGAG